GCUCCAGUGGCCUAGUGGUUAGAGCAUCUGUCUCAGAUGUGGGAGGUCAUUGGUUUAAUCCCAGUUCGAGUCA